UUCAUUUGCCUGUAAGCAACCACACUUGGUUUGAAGACUAAGUAGGAGAUAAAAUUAUUAAAAAUAUUGUGUGUGGAUGAGAGUUUUUUUUUUUGGUGAUUGAAGAUGGGGCCACAGGUAAAAAAAUCUAAAAGACUACAUUACAACAGGUCUAGUAAACUUCACUCCACAAGCAUCUGCGAUGAGUUGGUGCUGCAACAAGAAAAAGGGUUCUUCGAAGAACUGGAUUUCUUGAGGAUGAUCUUGUCCAGCUUUUGCAACAAAAUCAACGCCGAAUCAGGAAUGAGUUUCCAUGUCUUCCCUGCGGCGCUUUCUGAAUCAGCGACAACGCAUACUGUGAGUCCAUUUUCACCACUAUCUUACUGAUGUCCAGUUCCUUAGCCAACUUAACCCCAACAUAGAAAUCCUAAGGGUGUGUGUGGUUGGGGGAAUUAUAGAACAUUCCCAGAAAUUUUAAGAUGGGAAUAUAAAAUUCUUAUGUGUGGUUCAAAGUUAAAAAAAAAUUCUAAGGUAACUUUUAUUCCUUGGAAUUGAAUUACCACUCAUUCAAUUCCUAUCUCCCCCCUGGUUAUCUUUCAUUCCAAUGGGAAUGGAAUGUAAAUAAUGAAACAAAAAGACUAAAUUACCCCUAUUAUUUAAUACUAUAUUUCACUUCUUCAUUUUUUUUUGAAGAACUAAACCCUAGCAGAGCAGUUUUUUCCCAAAUCAGUGAGCUUCACCAACGCCACCGCCACCGGAGCCGGCACCGGCACCGGCACCGCCGUUACUCUAAACGGAAGAUUCGUCUCCUUAUCUUCUCCGAUUCAUGUUCGCACUGCUUUUCUCUGUGAAUUUUCUUCGAAUCUCAUAUUAAGGUUUGAGUUUUUUCCCAAAUCAGUGGAGGCUUCACCAACGCCACCGCUAUCGGAGCUACACCGGCGCCACCACCAUCGGAGCUACACCGGUGCCACCGUUACCUUAAACGGAAGACUGGUUUCCUUCUCUUUUUCAAGUUCAUGUUCGCAUUGCUUAUCUCUGCGAAUUCUCUUUGAAUCUCUCGUUAAGAUUGUUUGUUGAUAACCAUUGCCCAUGGAAAGCAAAAUGCCUUUCUCUUCAAGUAUUAUCCAAGCUAGGCCCAAACUUGAGCAGCAGUGUUGUUCUUGAAGUUUUAGAUAUGGGUCUGCAUGAUGAAGCUGAAAAAGUAAGAACUGAAGCUGUCAUUUCUAUGCCAAUGAUGCUUUUCUGGUCUACUCUUGAUAUAUCAUCUCCUGUCAUUCAAAAGAUUGACUGUUUGUUUAACGUGAAGGCUCUCAUCGACGAGAUGUUGAUAUUUGAAUUGCAGGAGGUACAUAAAGAGAGAUAAUGAGAAAGUAAAGAAAUUGGUUCCCAUAACACUUGGUCUGUUGUCAUGCCUUUAUGGAUGCAGAAGAGCUACCUCUGGCUUACAUACAGAUGAAUGCCUUUAUGGUGAAGUCAUUGUUGUUUUCUCUAACCAUGUUGGAGAUCAUUUUGGUUUCUGGUUUCUUCUGAGCAUUUUGGUGCCAAGGAUGAUUAGCAAAAGAACCAUAGAUGGAGCUGCUAUUCAAUGUGAUACAAGCCUGAUGAUUGUAACUAAGAACGGAGAUUUGAAGAUUGCUUUUGUUGAAGUCUGACCACAGUUGGGCUCCAAAAGAAUCUUGUGAAAUAAACCAAUCUAUGUUGGGGUAGAUGGAGAGAUCAACUUGCACAAGAAAUGUGGAACCAAUGGAGGAGAAGACAUCACACUCAAUAAUUGAAAUAAUUUUUCUAUGUGAGGUUGUAAUAUUGAUUUCAUUUUGUUGAUGUGUUUGUGUUCUUGUAUAAGAGUUGUGCAUGUAUGCUUACUAGUGCUAGUAAUUUUUACUUUUGAGACUUCUUUGUAACUUUCAUUUGCA